GACGGCAUUUGGUUGAAGUGCGAAUGCAGACCAAACAAAACUGGAUCCACGACUUGUAACAACUGCAGUAAGAUAGUGCUUUGGCUAAACCAAUUGGAUCUUGACGCUGCUGUGGACAAGUUUGCUUGUAAUCGUCACAACAUACGAAUCCAGUAGGAUGCUGAUACUUUAUAAAAAAUCCAUAGCGAAGCCUCCAGACCUACAGUGCCAGAGAACAACACAGAUCUGAAUGGCUCCCCUGCAGACCCAUAGGCUCCCUAUCAGCCACAGGGGUCGCUGGUGCGCUGUGAACCGCGUAUUGCCCUGCCGACCUAUGCCCUCCGUACCCGGGUGGCCCUUGGCCAAUUGUGCGCCGUGACCUGGAAACUCCCGGUCACAGUCGGCAAUGACAUAGCCUAGACUCGAACCUGCGAUCUCCAGGCUUUACUGGAUGCGCCACUCGGGAGCCCCAGAAGUAUUGUUAAGUGUAACAAAGUAUAGUAAAAGCAGUGUGUAGCCCAGAGGGGCAUUAUAAAGCAUAUUAAUAAAACAUGGCAAACCAUGGAAAAUCAUUGUAAUAAUAAUAAUAAUAAUCAUGGAAAAAGAAUGUGUGUGAAUUCACUAUAGUCAAAUUUAGUAAGGGGAAUAAUAAAAAAAAAGUGCACAGACUUUAGGGUUUUAGGAAUCAGGCAUGAUUAUUUCUGAGUCUAUAUGCAACACCCCCAUUAUAACAGCAACACCCGCAUGUGUGCGUCUGUGCAGUGCAUUAAUAUCUAAUUCCAAACAUAUGCAACAGCACAACAAAUGUGCUCAAUUAAUAUUUAAUGUGUAUUUGAAGUUAAUACAGAAAACUAAAUAUUAAAAUGGCAUUGCUUUACGAGUGCCUGUCGCAUUAUUUAUUGUGCCUCCAUGAAUUCAUCCCAUUAAAUAUUAAACACUAUAAUUGUCCAGCAUAUAUUAUGCAUGCUUUAAGUAUCUCUUAUUGUUUUUCAUUCUGCAAAUUAUGAACAUAUGGAAGGUUUAUUAAAAAAACAAAUCUAUUAACAUUUUUCAAAUACAUCCUUAUAUAUUAAUUGUUUCUACUGCCGUUUCCUAGUAAGAGGCUGUAAUAAUUUGGCAUCUCAGCCCAUUGAAUGGAAAGGCAAGGGCUGGACACAAACCAUUAACCACUCGGUUCAAAGAGGAACUGCUUACCAUUCAAUUAAAGAGCAAGCUUUGUGGUCGGGAGGUAAGUACAGGUCGUAUGCUGCUGUCAGUAUUGUUAACUCAUCAGCCGCUGGGAGGAGAUGCAUUAC